rnacentral:rRNA from 1 species
CCUACGGGAGGCAGCAGUGAGGAAUAUUGGUCAAUGGGCGCGAGCCUGAACCAGCCAAGUAGCGUGAAGGAUGAAUGCCCUACGGGUUGUAAACUUCUUUUAUAAAGGAAUAAAGUGAGGCACGUGUGCCUUUUUGUAUGUACUUUAUGAAUAAGGAUCGGCUAACUCCGUGCCAGCAGCCGCGGUAAUACGGAGGAUCCGAGCGUUAUCCGGAUUUAUUGGGUUUAAAGGGAGCGUAGAUGGGUUGUUAAGUCAGUUGUGAAAGUUUGUGGCUCAACCGUAAAAUUGCAAUUGAUACUGGCGGUCUUGAGUACAGUUGAGGUAGGCGGAAUUCGUGGUGUAGCGGUGAAAUGCUUAGAUAUCACGAAGAACUCCGAUUGCGAAGGCAGCUUACUAAACUGCCACUGACACUGAGGCUCGAAAGUGUGGGUAUCAAACAGGAUUAGAUACCCGUGUAGUC